UCCCAAAGUCAUGGUUAAGUGGGAAACGAUGUGGGAAGGCCCAGACAGCCAGGAUGUUGGCUUAGAAGCAGCCAUCAUUUAAAGAAAGCGUAAUAGCUCACUGGUCGAGUCGGCCUGCGCGGAAGAUGUAACGGGGCUAAACCAUGCACCGAAGCUGCGGCAGCGACGCUUAUGCGUUGUUGGGUAGGGGAGCGUUCUGUAAGCCUGUGAAGGUGUACUGUGAGGUAUGCUGGAGGUAUCAGAAGUGCGAAUGCUGACAUAAGUAACGAUAAAGCGGGUGAAAAGCCCGCUCGCCGGAAGACCAAGGGUUCCUGUCCAACGUUAAUCGGGGCAGGGUGAGUCGACCCCUAAGGCGAGGCCGAAAGGCGUAGUCGAUGGGAAACAGGUUAAUAUUCCUGUACUUGGUGUUACUGCGAAGGGGGGACGGAGAAGGCUAUGUUGGCCGGGCGACGGUUGUCCCGGUUUAAGCGUGUAGGCUGGUUUUCCAGGCAAAUCCGGAAAAUCAAGGCUGAGGCGUGAUGACGAGGCACUACGGUGCUGAAGCAACAAAUGCCCUGCUUCCAGGAAAAGCCUCUAAGCAUCAGGUAACAUCAAAUCGUACCCCAAACCGACACAGGUGGUCAGGUAGAGAAUACCAAGGCGCUUGAGAGAACUCGGGUGAAGGAACUAGGCAAAAUGGUGCCGUAACUUCGGGAGAAGGCACGCUGAUAUGUAGGUGAAG
rnacentral:ncRNA from 1 species